rnacentral:lncRNA from 1 species
GGGCAAGUUUUUGUCCUUUAAAGAGGUUUUGCAUUUACUUAGAGAGCUUUCAUUCCUGUUAAAUUGCCUUACUUACUAACAUGUUAAAUUGCCUUACUACUGUCUGAAAUGUUAGCGUGGCGGAAGUACAGCCUCACACACCUGUUCAGGUGGAUGUUAAUGGGAUGCUGUGGGAACAUAAACUGAGACCCUAGAUGGUUAUAUUUUUACAUUAGCUGCAAAUAUUUUUGUUUGUUUGUUUCUUGUAAUCCAGGCUGGCUUCAAACUUGAGUCCGUCCUGUGCACCACCAUGCCUGGCUCUUAGCGGCAAAUAUAGUAACAAACAUUUUCCAGGACACAGUUUCCCUGCUUGGAAGUCCUGGCUGAUGACGAAAUUCUCAGGCUGGAGGGUGACAAGGGUCUACAGGACAGGCAUGGACUCCCGGCUUCUCAGAAAGGUGGCUGGCAGUGACAGCAGCCUGGGGGAAGGACGGGGCAUUCGUGAGACCUCAAGCCAUCUCCCAGAGGAUGCCAGCUUGGAGACCAAGGUGGGGAGGAGAGUUCUGGGAGAGAAGGUGAGGGGUGUGAUCUGGGGAGGAGAGAAUCCAGGAGGAGGUGGAGGGCAGUUUUUUGUAGCAUUAUGAAUAUGUAAUGAUUAUAAAUUGUAACAGGUGCUGUGUAGUGGUUUCCUCCACUAAACUGGGCAUAUUUACUUACAUCUCUUGGGCUUUGGUGGUUCUUAGAGGGAUGGUGUUGCCACUGAGAGGGCUUUGGUAGUGUGCACAGGAGCAUUUGGGGUCGUGGUGUCUGGCAGAGUGGGGGUCAAGCCCAGCCCAGGGGUAAUAAAUCUUCAGUGUCUGGGACAGCUCCAGGUGAAAAGGAAUUACCCAGGGCCUGGGAUGUGGCUCAGCAGUGCUUCACCUGCCUGGCAAGCACAAGGUCCUGAGUUCAAUUCCUGGUACCAAAACAAAAACAAAACUCCAGGUGAAAGGAAUUACCCAGGGCCUGGGAUGUGGCUCAGCAGUGCUUCACCUGCCUGGCAAGCACAAGGUCCUGAGUUCAAUUCCUGGUACCAAAACAAAAACAAAAAACAAGAGUAAGAAUUAACCAGCCCCAAGCCCAGCAAGGGCCUCCUUCCACUAAGCAGCACCUGUUGGGAGAUGCCUUCUCUCUCUCUUGCCUUCCUUUCUGUAGGGCUCCAGCUGGGGCCCAAGAACCGAGGAACUUUUGCUGUGCACCCAGGCUUUUGAAAUCUGCAGACUCUGACUCCUUAGAUGCUGUGUGGCCAGAGAGGAAUGGAAGAUGGCUGAUGUGUAAGUAGACCAGUAAGACUGGAAUAUAGAAAUCACUUAGACUAACUCCUUCAUUCUACAGAUUCGGAAACUCAGGUUCAGAGAAACUCCAUGGUUUCCUCAGUGUCAGGCAGCUGAGGAGUGGGAGAGUCAAUGGAACGAGAGUAUGUAAUAUAAUUCUCAAUUUUUUUCCUCCAGGAGUUCCUGAAAUUCACAAAAUUUGCAUGCAUUAAUGAAAACAUUUUAUGAGUCUUUUAAAUGAUUUUCACAUUUUGGCUUAUCAACAAUGUGCUACAGACUUUUCCUCACUAGUAGGCAUUCUGCAGAAAGUGUGUUAGGUGCA